AUACGUAGGGUGCAAGCGUUAAUCGGAAUUACUGGGCGUAAAGCGUGCGCAGGCGGUUUUGUAAGACAGAGGUGAAAUCCCCGGGCUCAACCUGGGAACUGCCUUUGUGACUGCAAGGCUAGAGUACGGCAGAGGGGGAUGGAAUUCCGCGUGUAGCAGUGAAAUGCGUAGAUAUGCGGAGGAAAACCGAUGGCGAAGGCAAUCCCCUGGGCCUGUACUGGCGCUCAUGCACGAAAGCGUGGGGAGCAAACAGGAUUAGAUACCCUGGUAGUCCACGCCCUAAACGAUGUCAACUGGUUGUUGGGUCUUCAUUGACUCAGUAACGAAGCUAACGCGUGAAGUUGACCGCCUGGGGAGUACGGCCGCAGGGUUGAAACUCAAAUGAAUUGACGGGG
rnacentral:rRNA from 1 species